rnacentral:rRNA from 1 species
GUUUUAGUUUGUUAUUUUUUGUUAAAGACAUUUAAAAUUUGAUUUUUGAACUGGCUUAGUACCCAGGUACUCAAAAUUUCUUAAUUCGGGAGUAAAGUUUUGUUUAAACCGAAAAAAUAUUGACUGACUUUAGAUUUUUCUUUGGAACAUGUGUUGUGGAUAGUCCUCCUUUUUUGUCUAUUUUAUUUGCUCAUGUAUGAUUGUUUAGUUUUUACAUUUUUUGUGAUGCUCUAUCAUUUGUUGUUAUAAAACAGAUAUAUAUUUGGUUUAUAAAUUGAUUUUUCAGGUGUUACUAUUAUUAAUUUUUUUUGGAUUAUUAUUUAAUUUUUUAUGAAAUUGGAAAAGAAAGUAAUAGUUAUUUUUAUGUUU